GCCCGAGCGAGGGGCAUCUCCAGGACUGUCUAACCUGAGAAUGGUGAAACAUGAGGGUCAAUCUCAGGUUCGUCAGCCCAGGAGAUGCCUUCUCCAGAGCG
rnacentral:pre_miRNA from 10 species